ACCCGCCAGCCCCGCGCUCUACCAGGCAGAGCGCGUGUGGCCGCCGAGCACAUGGACCCACUGGUCAAGCGGGCUCGGCAAGGCCAGGAUGAAGAGAAGCUACGAACUUAGCAUUCCCAGAGCCCCCCGAGUGGAUAUCCGCGUGGAAAGGAUGUUGGCAGCCCCGGUGACCUCGGAGUCACGGCUGGAUCCACCCUCUUGUCUGAUUUUCUUAACUCUACUACGGUAAGAAGAUGCCCUCCAUCAGCAGGCCGUGUCUGCUGGGACCUCUCUGGAGACUUCCUGAACCCUGUGGAUUUACAGUAAGAUGCAGUUUCCUGGGGAGUAAUUCUGGUGGAUACAAAUUCCGGAGUAUUACACCUGGCUUGCCUGGAGAUGUUACAAGUAGCUGGAUGGAUUCUUCAGCCUGGAUGCCCACUGAAAACAAGGACCGAAACUAAGAGGAUUGUAUCUCUACCCUUGACUCAAUGAGAAUGUUUGUUGUCAUCUCUCGGGCUACCUGGAGCUCCCUCUAAAAUUAUACCCUUUAAGCGUUCCAGAAGGAUUUUGAGAUCCUUUCCUAAAUCAAAGGUGGAAUAUUUGGGGAUUUGGAAAAUUGAGCCAGUCUCUCAGAAGAACCAGUUGUGUUACUUUGCUGUGAGAUGCCUGCCCUAAGAGAGGAGCAGAAGGUCGGAACGGGUCCUCUAAUGUGAUAAUUAGAUGUGAAGCGUUGACUUAAGAGAUGCCAAGUAACUCAGCAGAUGUCACACAGACGAUAAAUAGCAAAGAUGGAAGUCUUCAUGCCGGAGGCAAUCCUAUAAGACAGCUGAGUUCUGCAGAGCUGGAGACAGACUUGCUCAGGUGAUAGAUCCAGCCAUGAUACUGACCCUAAGAGAAUGAGACGCUCUGCAGAAGACAGAAGAUUCCUGAAACUGGGAAAGGUGCCUAGAAAUCCUGAUAAGAGUGAAGAAGGAGCUGGCAGAGCAGCCUUCCUCCGCACUAUGAAAGACAUCCAACAGAGAGCAAGUUCCCACCUCACUUCCAGCUUGACUCCUUUUUAUCUCCUAACUGUGGUCUGUGAUGUCUUCAGCAAUGGGUACCUGGAGGCACAGCAGCCAUGUUGAACCUAUGAGGUGAUGAAAAACCAUGCAACUAGAAACCAGAAUGGAAGAAAAGAAGAAGCUGGAUCCUUGACUGAAUUGUCGAUGGGGGAUAGUCCAUCAUCCCAGGGCUAAGACCACCUCCAGAUUUCUUGUUUGGUGAAACAAGUCCUGAUUGUUUACAUUCCCUCGUGUUGAGCUGUCUCUUGCUUGUAGCUGAAAGCAUUUCUAAUAGAUAUUCAGAUUAUCAGCCUUAGCUCCAAGCUAGAAUACUCUAUGGGACCUUAGCUUCUCCAUGAAUUCCUUUGCUCAUCUGUGUAAUGCUCAAUAAAUGUAAAUUGAACCCUGAAUGAGGGACAAUGACA
rnacentral:lncRNA from 1 species